rnacentral:rRNA from 1 species
UACGUAGGGUGCAAGCGUUGUCCGGAAUUAUUGGGCGUAAAGAGCUCGUAGGCGGUUUGUCGCGUCUGCUGUGAAAACUCGGGGCUUAACCCCGGGCCUGCAGUGGGUACGGGCAGACUAGAGUGCGGUAGGGGAGACUGGAAUUCCUGGUGUAGCGGUGGAAUGCGCAGAUAUCAGGAGGAACACCGAUGGCGAAGGCAGGUCACUGGGCCGCAACUGACGCUGAGGAGCGAAAGCGUGGGGAGCGAACAGG